rnacentral:tRNA from 1 species
UGGAGAGUUGUCCGAGUUGGCGAAGGAGCACGCCUGGAAAGUGUGUAGGCGCCACAAGCGUCUCGAGGGUUCGAAUCCCUCACUCUCCGU